AUUGAACGCUGGCGGCAGGCCUAACACAUGCAAGUCGAGCGAGCGGCGGACGGGUGCGUAAUGUCUGGGAAACUGCCUGAUGGAGGGGGCUAACUACUGGAAACGGUAGCUAAUACCGCCUACCAUCUGAUGUGCCCCGAUGGGAUUAGCUAGUAGGGUGGGUAAUGGCUCACCUGGGCGACGAUCCCUAGCUGGUCUGCGAGGAUGACCAGCCAAACGGGAACGGAGACACGGUCCAGACUCCUACGGGAGGAAGCAGUGGGGAAUAUUGCACAAGGGGCGCAAGCCGGAUGCAGUCAUGCCGCGUGUGGGAAGAAGGCCUUCGGGUUGUAAAGCACUUUCAGCGGGGAGGCGUUACCCGAAGAAGAAGCACCGGCUAACUACGUGCCAGCAGCCGCGGUAAUUC
rnacentral:rRNA from 1 species